GAAACUGUUACUGACUCUAAAUGUUUUUCUUGUAAAUAGAACUGUCAACUGUUAAGCAACAGUUCAUUCAACAUAUUUAUAACUUGGUUAACUUGCAGAAAUAUGAAACAAGAGUGGGAGAUAAGGGGACUCAGCUCUCAGGAGGUCAAAAACAGAGGAUUGCUAUUGCCCGAGCCCUCAUCAGACAACCUCAAAUCCUCCUGUUGGAUGAAGCUACAUCAGCUCUGGAUACUGAAAGUGAAAAGGUUGUCCAAGAAGCCCUGGACGAAGCCAGAGAAGGCCGCACCUGCAUUGUGAUUGCUCACCGCCUGUCCACCAUCCAGAAUGCAGACUUAAUAGUGGUGUUUCAGAAUGGGAGAGUCAAGGAGCAUGGCACGCAUCAGCAGCUGCUGGCACAGAAAGGCAUCUAUUUUU
rnacentral:sRNA from 1 species